GCAUCACUGACCCAGAGAACAGCAACAGGGCUGAUCUUGUAGGUCACAUGACAGCUCAACAUGGCGGAUGUUGGACAUACUCAAGAAAAGUCAAAAUAAGAGUCAUAAUGUUGUUUAUCAAAUGCUUAAUGCAGGCUUCCAGUAAAGUGUUUCCACAUAAUGUUCAAACCUUUUCACUUCAUUGCAGUUUCUGGUUGGGUAUUUGAUAGUUUGCCUCCACUGAGAUGGAAACAGGUAUUGAAGUGGACGUUCAGACUGUGGUUGGCGGCUCUCUUCUGGCGGGGCAGCAAAGGGGAGAAGGGCUCCUUUGUGUGGCUGACUGAGGAACAUAAAGUGUGCUGGAUUACCGGGUGGAGGCUAGGUAAGUAUGCGAGGGUCUCUGCGUGGAGCCGCUGGGUCAGUGGGCUGCCAUAAACAUCAGCCUAAACACAGAGCGGGAGAUGGAGGAGACAUCAGCCCUGCCCUGGAGCCAUCCUAGCAGAAGAGUGAUAUAAUACAGACCUUCUCAUUAACUCGUCUGCUAAAGGGAGUGCGCGAACCAACACACCCAACAGCGCUUGAAUCCUUUGCACCCUCUGGACGUCCAAGCGUGUGUCUGCAUGCACCUGUACGGCCCGACUAGUCAGCGUGUGGAGUAAUGGAUGUGGAUGGUUUAAGCUCCAACUGUAAGUGACCCCAGAGCAGCUGGACGGGAUGGAUGACGGUUCUCUUUGAAAUAUGACAGAUGAUAGCAUGUGAUCUUGGCCAUGCGAAAUACUUCACCUCGACCUUUUUGCCAUCUCUCAUUUCACGCGGCGUCACAUCGUGGCUUUUUGUUCAGUUCCUCUUGUUUUUGCUCUGUUUUUCGCUUCCUUUCUCUUUAUGAGUCAUGAGAAUUCUUGCCAUUCCCUGCUGAGAAGCAGCCUUCUCUCCCGCUGCUGAUUGUUCAAAGCUUUAAAAUGGGAAAAUAGGAUGUGUAUGUUUUUUUAACACAGCUUUCUGCGGUUUCGCCGAGCGUUUUUCCAGCGAGGACUAUUUUAGCGUUUCACGAUAACACCCAAACUGAACUUAAUCAUGUUCCCUCCUUGCCACUUAACGUCGGAGGAGCGGGAGAGUCUGAAACCAGACGACCCAGACCAGACCACCCACAUGCAGAGAGAAAGCAAGGGGACGCCCGCUUGACAGAGCCCUCGCACGGAAAACCUGAGCUGGCUCUGUUUCCACAGCCGCCCUUCUGUUCUCAAAGAAUACCUGAACCCAUGACAUCAUUCCUCAACUGUAGGAGAUGGCUGUGAUCUCCUGGGUACAAUCAUGCACUGAUGACUGAAACAUAUCAGAAGAUGGAGAUCAAAGAGUGUGGCUGGGUGUGUUUAUGAAAGCAGCAUGGGAUUUUAUGUGAAUGAGAGAGUAUGUGUGUGAGAGGAGCUGUUUGGAUGAGGGCAGCAGCGUGAGUUUGUACUAGGAGUUCAUGCAUUGGUGUUGCUUUUAAUCUACAGCGCCACAAAGAAAUGAACUGAAUGUGAUGAGUUAAAACAACUGGAUAAAACAACAUCUUUUUAUUAUUGAUGAUGAUUCUUAAACUCAGAAGUUACCAGUUUAAACAAAGUCCCUUCAACGCAAUUUAAUCAGCAGCUAUCUUAGUUUCUGCCCCCAACCAAAAAACUAAAUAAAAAUAAAAUAAAAUAAAACAAACAAACAAACAACAACAACAACAAAAUCCUUAGUAACUAAUAUCAUCACUGGAUCUGGGGAUUAUUGUAAUAAUUAGUCAUUAAAUAAUAUUAUUUUUAAUUAAUUUUAUCAAAUGAAUUAUAGUAAUAAGAAUAAAUAAUAAAAUAAUUUUUACAUUAAAAAAUAACUAAAUUCAAAUCUUAUUAUUAUUAUUUUUUUUCAUUAAAAAAGAAAAUAAAAAAUACAUAUAUUUUACCAAAAAAAAAAUAAAAAAAUUCUCAGUUUUUUCGUCAGCCAUCUUGGUAAC
ensembl:lncRNA